GAAAUGCGAUAAGUAGUGUGAAUUGCAGAAUUCAGUGAAUCAUCGAAUCUUUGAACGCACCUUGCGCUUCCUGGUAUUCCGGGGAGCAUGCCCGUUUCAGAAUCAUUAAAAUCUCACAAAUCAAUUUGCUUUCGGGCAUCUUGACAAGUGGAUGUGGAUGUUUUUGUACUUUGUACAAACAUUUUAAAGUGAUUGUAUGUGCGCCUUGUUUAAUAACAUUGGUUAUCAAAAGUGCAACAGAUUUAUCUCUAUUUCAUUUUAGUAAUCAGUGUCACAGACAUGGUGUUAUUAUGCUCAAAAACCAUUAAGUGAUGUUGGUUGUAUGAUCAACAUUUACUGAUAACUUGGUCUGAAAUCGGGCAAGAAAACCCGCUGAACUUAA
rnacentral:misc_RNA from 1 species